CGGGCAGUCUCACAUAUUUUGGGAGGCUGAAGUGGGAGAACUACUUGAGCCCAGGAGUUUGAUUGAGGCUUCAGUGAACUAUGAUGGUGCCAUGACACUCCACCCUGGGCAACAGAGCUGGACCCCACUUCGAAAAAAAAAAAAAAGUAGUUACCCAGGUAAGGUGGAUGGCACCAAACUCUCUCCCUUACCUGGACCAUUUCCGGUCCCAAGAGGAGGAUCAGUUAGGCGGAUGACCCAAGUUACCCAGAUCAUUAACUGUGGAAGCACGGGAUUUUUUUUUUAAUGCCAUUCCUUUGGCCUCUAAAUAUGAGAGAUCUUUACAUCUCUUCCUUAGCUCCCUCCUAUUCUCUACCCUCUCCCCAACACCCAAGCAAAUCCUAGCAACAAAAACUCCUAAAUAUAGGACAAACCUUCAUGACCUACCAUUUUGGCCCACCUGCAACCCCGGUCCCCCGGCCCCCCCCGGCCCGCAUUUUUUUUUCUCUCCUGAGCCUCUACUCUUCGAUUCUAAAAAAAAAGAAAAAAAAAAAAAAAAACGAAGAAGAAGGAAUUUUCAAUAGUCCCACUUGUCAAGCGAAGACCAUCUUUUAACCUUCAACAGCAGCGAAAGCCGUGUGAACUCUCGGUGAACCAAGAUUGAAGUCAUAAAUCACGCGUACAAAGGCGGCUGCGGAGGCUGGCGCGGGCUGCUGCACCUUUAACGCUUUCUGGGGCUGACAGGCGGCGGCCCAGCUAAAGUUCACAGCGCCCGGGGAGGGCCCGCCCCCGCCUCCCGGCCCGCCCCCGCCUCCCCUCCCCCAGUUCGGCCCCGGCCCCGGCUCCCGCCCCCGGCCCGGCCCGCCGCUCCGCAGCCGAAGCUACGCACGGAGGAGGCCCCUUAGCUCUUCCCGCAAAGGGCGGGGGGCGCAUUUUUUCUCCUGCCAGCCCGCUCCAUCCGGGUCGUUUAUUCCCUGCCUCCCCUCACCCCUCAUCCCCACAGCCUGCUGUAUGUAAAUAGGCAAAUAGAUCUACACGGACACAAUAAUUUAGCUUGUUUGGUCUUUGGCAUUUUCUACAAGACCCCAAGAGAUGGACUUUUCUCUCCCCUUCCUCCGUUUAGAACUGGCAUCCUUCAUCUCUGUCCAUGCAGGCCCAAUUAUCCAGAUCCUUGGGGCUCCAAUAGGGUCUGAGUCAUAGGAACCAGAACACCUGGGUGAAACAUGCCACAUAAUUAGAUUUUCUUUUUCUUUUCGUUCUUUUUUUUUUUUUUAAUUUUUUUUUUUCACUAAGAGGGCUGGAAUUAGCUUCCUCGACUGGGGCGGAGUGGCUGGGGUAGGGGACAGGGACGCCUUCGUACGAAGUCCAGCUUUCAGCUCCUUGGAGCGAUCUCCAAGUUCCCCGAGCCGGGACUUCCUUUCCUCGGCCUCUUGGCCCCCUCCUCCUCCUUCUCCGAUCGUUUUGUUUUUUUUUAUUCCCCCCACUGUCUUCUCUACGAUUUAAUUAAAGUUCAGCGACUCCACUUGCCUCUCCUCUCAUUUCUUUCGGAAAGCGGAAACCAGAUGACCCAGCAGCCACGGGCCCAGCCGCCCCAGCUCAACCCCAGCAGGACGCUGGAGGGGCCUCCCUCUCCCGCCUCCCUCCGCCGGCGCUGGCCUCCCGGACCCGGGUCUGCAGUCCCUCCGCCAACCCGCAGGUGUGCAGCCGCUUGGCCUGGGGGAUCCGAAUGACUGGGGCUGGAUAGGAAUGUCUUCGUGUUUCCCCAGACCCCCGGGCCUGUUCCGCAAAGUUUGGAGGGUGGGUACACCCCGACCCAGGCAAGUUGCUCCCCUAAAACCCAUAACUGACUAAUCUGAUAUGACAAAAGCCCGUGAUGGAUUUGGUAUAUGUUAAUUCACAAUGCCCUUUCCUCCAGAAUUUAACUAUAAGUUAAUACACACCGGAAACCACGCGCAUACAUGCUCCUUAAUGGGCUUAGGUAUUAGCGAGUCCUAACGAUGCAUACAAAUGUGCUCUGCGCUCUGUAGGCCCCUCAAGAUUUAUGGGCCUUGAGCUCUCUGAAGCUGUAAACAAGGAGGGGGAAAAAAAAGAGAAAGCGAAAGAGACUGGGGGGAAGAGACAGAGGCCUGACUCGCCCCUCCAGGUUGUGGGAGAGAAGGGAUUCUUUACGUAUUUUCCUUUCCUUGCUAGCUCGGUGCGUGUGGGUUUUGGCGUCGGUCUGGGGUGGUGUUCCGCCUGAAUGCUGGCGUGCGUGGGCAGUGUGUUCUUUGCGUGCCAGGGGAGGAUGCCUGCCUCUUUAGAUUGCUGUGCAGGGGCCUGAACAUAGCAGGCAUUUGUGAGCAUAUAUGCGUGAGUGUGUGCACGGUGUUAGGGGGUGUGUGUGUGUGUGUGUGUGUGUGUGACAGGCAGGCUUCCCUUUGGGCCAGGCUGCUGUCCCCUGAACCUGGUGAACAAAUCUCUAACAACAAUCAUAAUAACAAUAAAUAACGAAUAAUAAUAAUAAAACAGUAGUUAGCAGUCCCUGAAUAACAGGAUAACAAUAAAAUGCAAGAGGAAAUAUUUUGAGGAGGGGACAGAGGAAGAAGUCAGGAUCACAGCAUCUGAGGGGAAGAUAGGAAAGGACGGGAGGAAGAAAGCUUCUUAAUAUGCUCUUGGGGAGCUGAGGUUGGGAACCCCUUUCCCGGUCAAGGGACAAAAGAGAAGGAGAGCCCAGAGGCCACUCUUUAUUGCUUUUUUUUCUCGGCCUUUUGCUUGUGAUCAGGGAAGGGAUCCCACAUAUGGGGGUGGUUAAUGGUUUUUGGGACUCUCUGGGAGCCCCUGUUUUAAGGAGGAGGCCAAAUGUGCAGGGUCAGGCCAAGGGGCAGAGAUGAAUGAGGCGAUGACCACAGACUUGAUCCGGCAAGAGCGCAGAAAUGCCCGAGAGGACGAGCCCCCAGGGCCCGGACUGAAGAAGAAAAACAUUUAUGGCCGCCGGGGAGUGGGGAGAGCCAGACUGGGGCUCCAGCAGGCCCAGGACAAGUUCCCUUUCUAGGGUCUUUAUUUACAAAUUUAAAAGGAGGAGUUAAGGCGCCUUGAAUUUUCCUUCGCGAGCUUGGAGCCUAGCCGAUUUUUCAUGAAGGCAAAGACCACAGUCCCGGAUCCUGCAACAUCCACCUCAUUCUCUUCAGGCCUCUCCGCUGGCCGGAGCUCUCAGCCACCAGGAGACUGACGGAAGGGGCUUCUGAGCUGCGUUGGGAGCGGGCACUGUCCCCCACCCACUCCUGCUCGGUUUCCCAAAGUCCAGCGACCUCCGACCCUCCUUGGAGGGAAAAUACCAGCACCCAGACACCUCUGCACCCUGUUAGAUGACUGGGCUUGCUUCAGGAAUAUCUUACAAUGAAAAAGAAGGAAGAAUGGCUUGGAGUCGUGUUUACAUCUAGUUCUACUGAUCUGUUCACAUCUGGAGAGUUUAUUUAUAACUCCCUCUAUAACUCUCUGUUUGGAGGCACUGGUGGCUCUAUUGACAGACUGAUGUCUAGAAAAUAUUGCUGUAUCUCUAACCAUACCUAAAUAUGCUGUGGUUGUAUUUACAGAUUUAUGUUUGAGGAAAAUAUAAUUAUUUCCAUUGUAUUUGUGCAUAUACAGUAGUUAUAGGAGCAGAUUUAUAUAUGGGAAAAUAUACGACUCUCUUACAGCCAUCCUGCUUUAUGUACGCUUGAUCUCCUGACAGAUUUAUAUCUCUGAACAGCUAUAUAGAUAAAAAUGUAUAUUGUUAGAAUUAUGUAUCAGGAGAUAUAUACUUAUUGAUUGUGAUAUAGAGUAGUUAGAGCAUUCACUUAGAGCCAUAUAUGGUGAUGGAGAUAUUUCUAUAUUAUUAUCGCUAUAUAUAGGCAUAUCUAUUUAUAACUACAUAGUUAUAAAAAUAGACAUGUCAUUAUAGUCCUAUAUGUACAUGCUGCAAUCUCUCUCUAGAGUUAUAGACACUUUCAAAUAUAACUCUAUAGUGAGAUUUGUAUGUAUAUAAGGUAUAAUUAUCUUGUGAUGUGUGCACGCUGGGACUUAGGCCACUCUCUCAGAACAAUCAUAUUUAUCUGUAGGGGCUGGGAGAGACUUGUUCACAGAUAUCUGCCGAGGGCCAGCUGGAAACGUUGUAUCUGCCCUCUAGGAAAGAAGCUAGCAGAGUUCUGUAUUUAUGGAGGGAUGGAGUUGCAAAACGGUAAAUAGGCUCAUGGAGCCUCCAGGAAGGGGGGUAAAUGGGGUGUGUGUGGGCUCGGUUGAACAGAUCUCGGGAGGAAAGGGGUAAACACUAGCACCCACCAAAAGGUGAGAACCGGUUUUGUGAGGGGCUGGUGCAGACGGCUGUGGUGGAGGAGCUUGGGAAAGGGGAAGCUGAGAAAACUCCAGCCUCCCCACCCCGAGACGUGGUCCACUGAGGAAGCAUCCUUCAGCUGGGCUUUUAGUGCACUGAAGGAUAGGGAUUGUCGUGCCCCCCCUGUAGUCCUAGCUCGUUUCUCUUAAACCCUGAUUUUUAGGUCUCAAAGAGUGGGCUUCAGAGAUAAACAGGUUUAGGCAGGGACAGGGCGGGGAGCAUGGGGUGCACUUUCGCUUUCUGAUAAGUGAGGUAAUCCAGGAGAGUGAGUUCAUUUGGCCAAAUAAAGCCUGUUUUUA